GAUAAAUUUCAUUAUUAAAAUCAUAAGUGAGACCUGUGCAGGCCUCUGCUAUGGGGGUGAUGGCCAGCCCUGGUGUCUGAGUGAUU